GACGAACGCUGGCGGCGUGCUUAACACAUGCAAGUCGAACGGAAAGGCCCUGCUUUUGUGGGGUGCUCGAGUGGCGAACGGGUGAGUAACACGUGAGUAACCUGCCCUUGACUUUGGGAUAACUUCAGGAAACUGGGGCUAAUACCGGAUAGGAGCUCCUGCUGCAUGGUGGGGGUUGGAAAGUUUCGGCGGUUGGGGAUGGACUCGCGGCUUAUCAGCUUGUUGGUGGGGUAGUGGCUUACCAAGGCUUUGACGGGUAGCCGGCCUGAGAGGGUGACCGGCCACCUGGGGACUGAGAUACGGCCCAGACUCCUACGGGAGGCAGCAGUGGGGAAUAUUGCACAAUGGGCCGAAGCCUGAUGCAGCAACGCCGCGUGCGGGAUGACGGCCUUCGGGUUGUAAACCGCUUUCGCCUGUGACGAAGCGUGAGUGACGGUAAUGGGUAAAGAAGCACCGGCUAACUACGUG
rnacentral:rRNA from 1 species